rnacentral:rRNA from 1 species
GACCAACGCUGGCGGCGUGCCUAAUACAUGCAAGUCGAACGAGAGCAACCGGUGCUUGCACUGGUCAAUCUAGUGGCGAACGGGUGAGUAACACGUGGGUAACCUGCCCAUCAGAGGGGGAUAACAUCCGGAAACGGAUGCUAAAACCGCAUAGGUCUUCGAACCGCAUGGUUUGAAGAGGAAAAGAGGCGCAAGCUUCUGCUGAUGGAUGGACCCGCGGUGCAUUAGCUAGUUGGUGAGGUAACGGCUCACCAAGGCCGUGAUGCAUAGCCGACCUGAGAGGGUGAUCGGCCACAUUGGGACUGAGACACGGCCCAAACUCCUACGGGAGGCAGCAGUAGGGAAUCUUCCGCAAUGGACGCAAGUCUGACGGAGCAACGCCGCGUGAGUGAAGAAGGUUUUCGGAUCGUAAAACUCUGUUGUUAGAGAAGAACAAGUGCUAGAGUAACUGUUAGCGCCUUGACGGUAUCUAACCAGAAAGCCACGGCUAACUACGUG